GAGGGUAGAGCUCAGUGGUAGAGUGCAUGCUUAGCAUGCAUGAGGUCCUGAGUUCAAUCCCCAGUACCUCCA
rnacentral:tRNA from 1 species